AUUCUGAUUUUUAAAGGCAGUGCUUUAAGGCCUGACUUUUAAGUCAUGAGGUUCAUCUUUUCAUACGCAAUCUUUGCAGGGGGUCUUUUGGCCAGAAAUAGAUCCGGAAAUGUUCGAAUUUCUCCUCUUCUUUUUAUGGUAUGAUAUGGUUUUUAUUUCUUUCAUUUACAUUGGGGACUAAAGAAACGAUCAGUGUGUUUUGUUUGUUUUAUAGAACUUGUUAUGAGUGUGUAUUUUGCAUUAUAAGCAGUCAACCUGACUACAAACUAUCAUUAUGUGUAUUCCGUGCGGAAAGAGGUCGGGUCAAUUUCGAGUGUUAUCUGACAUCUAAAGAUUCUUUAAUUAGUUCAGACGUUGAUAUAACAAUGAAAAGUCGACUGAACAUGAUUAAUAUUGCAUCUUCUAUAAUUCAAAGCGGAAUUCGGUUUAUGAACGAGAAACUGUAAAGCGUUUUCAAUUUCGGUAUUAGUUAUGUAUGUUGUCUACGUAUUAUCCUGGUUCCCGGUACUACGUUCCGGGUAUUAGCUUUUUGUGUAUGUGAUGUGUAACAUUACGAUCGGGUACCAGCCAAUCUACGUGUGUAUGUGUACAUGAUUUCCCGCCAAAAUGACCGUUUUACAGCUAUGGAAAAAAUAGUCCACAAACGUUCCGUAGAAUGAUAUCAAAUUCAUAAUUAAUCGUAACUUUUUUUUAUCUUUGUAUAAUAAAUAUAACAAAAUGGAUUCCACAAAAUUGAAAAUAGCAUUAUUUUACGAGGAUUUCUCAUAUUUUUCUCACUUCCGGCGCAGUAAUACGUGUGUUUCGAAGAAGCUCGAAGAAUUUGACAAAGUGAAUUGAGAAGGAAACGGAUAGAUUUACGUCCUUGCUAUCAGGAGAAAUCUAGAGGAAAGUUUUGAUUUGUGAAAUUGGUUUUCCUGAAAAGCCAUUCAUCCUAGCCUGCAGAAAGGAACUAUAACUGUCCACCACCAACUGACGAGCUAAUGUUGAGCUUCACAUAUGGAAUUAAUCAAAUACCAUCAACGUUUGUGUUUUCAGCACAGAUUUCACAAGUUAUGACACAGCUGUGUUUUUUUAUACCUGUUUAUAGAGUUGUAUACUAAAUUUUAUUUUUUUUAUCAAUAAAUAUAUAUUGUGUCA